AAAAGAAUAAGCUAAUUUAAGCUUUUGGGCUCAUAUCCCAAAUAUGGACCUAUCCUUCUUUUA
rnacentral:tRNA from 1 species